rnacentral:tRNA from 1 species
GCCAGCAUGGCGUAGUGGUUUGAGUGCUGGACUACAGCUCUGAAGACCAGGGUUUGAUUCUCUGCUCAGCCA